CUCUUGGGUACUCUUAAGAUUUAUAGAACGAAUACUAUCCUGCUCCCCUUUUAGACUCAGUCUUUCCACUCAGGAGCUGGUAUCUUAGGUUUUUUGGGUGUAUCAGCUUUUCUAUAACACAGAUUGCUUGGUUGUCUUUCCCAGCCAAACAACGCAAGCAGCAGACUAAGCAGAAGCAGAUAUGAGAACCCAGCUUUCCCUUACUAAACCGGGCAUUUGAUUUACAAAAAUGUACAGCAAUUUCUAUCUUUGUACUAAUUUUUUUUCUUUUGGAAAACAAAAUGAAAUGUUACUCAUUUCAUUUUAAUGAAUUAAAAUGUCAGUACUUUCUCAGUUUUAAUUUCUAAUGUGGUUAGUAUUAAUGGAUAUAACCCAUGUAAACAAAAUUCUUUGGUGUCCUCCAUAACUCUCAAGAGUCAGAAGCAGUCCUGAGACCAGAAGUUUUGAGAAUUGCAAUAGUCAGGGUAUAUUGAUAACUUAUUACAUGUUCUUACUCAUUUAAUUCUCAAAACAGUACUCUUAGAUAGGGAUUAUUACUAUCUCCAGUUUACUAAUGAGGAAAUAGAGGCAGAGGGAGAUUAAUUAACCUCUCCAAGUUCAUACAGUUAAUAAGUGGAGAAGCUGGGAUUCAAACUCAGUUUUGUCCUUUUUUAAAAUUUUAACAUCUUGUGUUCUCCUUUCUAGUUUACAGUUAAUCACUAGUUCCUAUUAUUUUUUCCUUUAAAAUAUCUUCAGUUUUCUCUUUUCCUAUUGUCACAUCCUAGUGUGAAUUCUUAUUAUUUCACUCUUAGAGGCAGCAGCUUCUAUUUUUGAUCCUUGCUUCUUGUCUGUUAUUGUCAAAUUAAUUGUCCAGAUGUACGCCUUUUCUUAUUUUUCUUCUCCUUUCCAAAAUCUGUAAUAGUUUGCACUUGUGAACUACUUUAAGCUCUUAUCCUUCACUUUGGGAACUCAAAUAACAUGUAUGUGAGUCUGCUUAAAGUCACAUAGGUUACUAAUGUUUUUCAGGCUUGUUUCUCUUUGCUUCACUUUGGAUAGUUUCUAUUGUUGUGCUUUCAAGCUUACUAAUUUUUAGUUCUGGAAUUUCUGAUGUGCUAUUGAUUCAUCCAUUGUAUUUUUUCAUCUCAAAUAUUUAUUUUUUUAAUCUCUGAUGAGAUAUUUUGAUUUGUGUUCUUUUUAUAUUGUUGAUGUUUUCCUUAACAUAUGAAUUACAGUUAAAACUAUCUUGAUACCUUUGCUAAUUCUAGUAUCUGUCAUUUCUUGGCAUAUUUAUAUUACUGCUUUUUCUUCUUGUUAUGGGUCACAUUUUCCUCUUUUUUUUCAUUCCUGAUACCUUUUUUUGGGGGGAGGAGGGCCAGACAUUGUGAAUUUUCCUUGUUUUGUUCUAGAUACUUUUGUAUUUCUAGAAAUAGCCCUGAAUUUUAUUCUUGGACACUGUUAAGUGAUGUGGAGAUAGUUUGACACUUCCAGUGCUUAUGUUAAUGCUUGGUUAGGUAGGACCAGAACAAACUUUAUCUAGGGCUAAUUGUGCUCCACUUCUGAGGCAGUAAUUUAUGAUUAUUCUACCUGAUGUCCUGUGAGGUAUGACAUCUUUUUCCUUCCUGAAUGAAACACAAAUUAUUCCCACCACUGUCUGAAUCUCCAAGGUUAUUCCCUCUGCUUUUUUUAGUUGGUUCUUUUCCUGCUUGGGGUGGAUUCCUCACAAGCAUGUGGUGAUACUGCUCUAUAAAGACUUGAGAGGGACCUUCUACAGAUCUACCCCACUCUUCUCUGCAGCUCUCUCCUCUCUAGUACUCUACCAGACAAAUUCUAGCAGCUUCCUCAUCUCAGGCAUAUGGCUGGAGGUUCCUUCUAACAUUGCUCCCUAGAAACUCUAUAAGCGGGGAGCUGCUAGAAGGGACUCAUUUGUUUCCCUUCUCUCGGAUUUACUCUCCUAUACUAGCCCUUGUCCAGUGUCUGAAAACCAUCAUUUCAUGUAUUUUUCUUUUCUUUUUUUUUAAGUUGUUUCAGGUGGGAGAGUAAAUAUAUUCCCUGUUACUCCAAAUAGACCUUAAAGCCAGUCUGUUCAUUUGUUAAAGAUUCAGCUCAAGUAUUAGUGCUUUUCCAAACUGUUUCAUGAUCUGUUCUCUAGUUAGGAAUCAUGUAGUCACAAAGAACAGAGCCCUUUCAAAUCUUCAUUGCAUGGUACAGGUAGAUCUAUCUUCUCUUCCAUUCUCUUUUCUGCACAUCAAUUUCCUCAGCAGGAUUCUUUCCACUUACCUUAGGUUCUCCUUUGCCAGGGUUUUACUUCUGACUUUAACCUAACAUGACCUUUCAGCUCUAGUCCUUAAACUACGUAAUCAGAUUACCUGUUUAUGUGAGUGGCCCCGAGGAGCCAGAAAAUUAAUGUUAGUCUUGGGUAAGUAGAGUUCAGUAGUGACAUGACCGUGAUUAAUAAUAAAUGAAAAUUAAAAAUUUAAAUUAGUAAGCAUUUUACAAUAAGUAGUUUGCAUCAGAAAUACCAACCUAUAAAUUCUACCUGGGAAAUUAAAGUCUCAAAUAAUACUCAGUAAACACAAUAUUUGUGCCAAGGUAAGCUCAGACAUUUUGCUGCUGUUUUUUGAUUAAUAAAUAAUACAAUUAAUCUAAAAACAUUCACUAAGUAUAUGUUACAUACCAGGCACUAUCCAAGGCACUAGUAAUUCAAAGGAGUUUACACUCUAGAAAAGGUUGGCAAACUAUAUAUAGCCUUGAGAGCCAAAUUCAGCCCCAUACCUGUUUUUGUAAGUAAAGUUUUAUUGGAUCACAGCCCCUCUCAUUUAUUUUCGUAUUAUCAGUGGUGGUUUUUGUGCUUCAACAGGUUCUGAGUAGCUGUAACAGAGGCUCUAUGGCCCACAAAGCCUAAACUUUUAUCUUUUUGUCCUGUUAUGGAAAAAGUUGAGUUCCCGUCGUGGCACAGUGGUUAACAAAUCCGACUAGGAACCAUGAGGUUGCGGGUUCGGUCCCUGCCCUUGCUCAGUGGGUUGACGAUCCAACGUUGCUGUGAGCUGUGGUGUAGGUUGCAGACGUAGCUCGGAUCCCAAGUUGCUGUGGCUCUGGCGUAGGCCAGUGGCUGCAGCUCCGAUUGGACCCCUAGCCUGGGAACC
ensembl:lncRNA